rnacentral:rRNA from 1 species
CCUACGGGAGGCAGCAGUGGGGAAUAUUGCACAAUGGGGGAAACCCUGAUGCAGCGACGCCGCGUGAGUGAAGAAGUAAUUCGUUAUGUAAAGCUCUAUCAGCAGGGAAGAAAAUGACGGUACCUGAGUCAGAAGCCCCGGCUAACUACGUGCCAGCAGCAGCGGUAAUACGUAGGGGGCAAGCGUUAUCCGGAUUUACUGGGUGUAAAGGGAGCGUAGACGGCAGUGCAAGUCUGGAGGGAAAGGCGGGGGCUCAACCCCCGGACUGCUCUGGAAACGGUACGGCUGGAGUGCAGGAGAGGUAAGUGGAAUUCCUAGUGUAGCGGUGAAAUGCGUAGAUAUUAGGAGGAACACCAGUGGCGAAGGCGGCUUACUGGACUGUAACUGACGUUGAGGCUCGAAAGCGUGGGGAGCAAACAGGAUUAGAUACCCCAGUAGUC